rnacentral:piRNA from 1 species
GGUAAAUCUAUGCUCGGGCCCCUUGUGAC